AGAGUUUGAUCAUGGCUCAGAGCGAACGUUGGCGGCGCGCUUAACACAUGCAAGUCGUACGAGAAAAGGGGGCAACCCCUGAGUAGAGUGGCGCACGGGUGCGUAACACGUAGGCAAUCUUCCCUCAGGAGGGGGAUAACCAUCCGAAAGGAUGGCUAAUACCGCGUAAGACCACGGUCGCUUCGGCGACAGCGGUCAAAGGGGGCCUCUCCUUGGAAGCUCUCACCUGAGGUCGAGCCUGCGGCCCAUCAGCUAGUUGGUAAGGUAACGGCUUACCAAGGCUAAGACGGGUAGCUGGUCUGAGAGGAUGAUCAGCCACACUGGCACUGAAACACGGGCCAGACUCCUACGGGAGGCAGCAGUGGGGAAUAUUGGACAAUGGGCGAAAGCCUGAUCCAGCGACGCCGCGUGGGUGAUGAAGGCCUUCGGGUUGUAAAGCCCUGUGGGCAGGGAAGAAAACGUUGCAGGCGAAUAGGCUGCGACCUUGACGGUACCUGCUCAGAAAGCACCGGCUAACUCUGUGCCAGCAGCCGCGGUA
rnacentral:rRNA from 1 species